rnacentral:rRNA from 1 species
UACGGAGGGUGCAAACGUUGCUCGGAAUCAUUGGGCGUAAAGCGAACGUAGGCGGCUUUGUAAGUCGGGAGUGAAAGCCCUCGGCUCAACCGAGGAAGUGCUUUCGAAACUGCAAGGCUUGAAUAUCGGAGAGGGUAGCGGAAUUCCCGGUGUAGAGGUGAAAUUCGUAGAUAUCGGGAGGAACACCAGUGGCGAAGGCGGCUACCUGGACGAAUAUUGACGCUGAAGUUCGAAAGCGUGGGGAGCAAACAGGAUUAGAUACCCUGGUAGUCCACGCCGUAAACGAUGAGUGCUAGGUGUCGCGGGUAUUGACCCCUGCGGUGCCGCAGUUAACGCAUUAAGCACUCCGCCUGGGGAGUACGGCCGCAAGGCUAAA